UAAGCUUGCUUCUGGCUUGGGUCACAUAGGGAUAAGAACGGUGACGAUUCUCCAACGUGUAGAAUUCAUCAUUAAACUAAUAAUUUGCCUUUCUAUGUUGCAUAUAGACAACCUAUGAACAGGUGCAGAUAAAAAAGAUUCUCAGGCAUGGCAAUUGGAGAAGAGAACCAGCAGGUAGAGAGCAAGAAAGAUGAUGUUUUGGUUCCCCUACUUGAGGAGGAGAAGAAGAGCUUCAAGAGUGAGUUUAAUGGAGGUUCGUUUCUGGGUUCAGUGUUCAACUUGUCAACCACCAUCGUCGGCGCCGGAAUCAUGGCGCUUCCGGCGACCAUGAAGGUUCUUGGGCUGGGACUUGGCAUUUCCAUGAUCAUUUUCAUGGCGGUUUUGGCGAAUUUCUCUAUAGACAUUCUUUUGAGGUUUAGUAGGGGUGGAGGGUCUAACUCCUAUGGAGGUGUUAUGGGUGAUGCGUUUGGGAGUUGGGGAAGAAGAUUGCUUCAAGUGUGUGUCUUGAUCAAUAACAUUGGUGUUCUUGUUGUCUACAUGAUCAUCAUUGGUGAUGUGCUCUCUGGAACAACAUCAGAUGGGGUUCAUCAUCCUGGAGUCUUGGAGGGAUGGUUUGGAGAACAAUGGUGGACUGGACGUCACUUCGUUCUUCUUGCUAUUACUCUUAUAGUGUUUGUUCCAUUGGGGUUCUUCAAGCGUAUUGAUUCAUUGAGACACACAUCUGCAUUGGCAGUUGCACUUGCAGUUGUUUUCCUUGUCAUUACUGCAGCAAUCACCAUUUUCAAGUUAUUCGCGGGCAGUAUUGAAAUGCCCAGAUUUCUUCCUGAUGUUACUGAUAUUAGUUCAGUCUGGAGACUCUUCACUGUAGUGCCAGUUAUUGUCACUGCAUAUAUCUGCCAUUUCAAUGUGCAUAGUAUUGAGAAUGAACUGAGAGACCCUUCUCAGAUGAGAUCAGUUGUGAGGGCAUCUUUGUCUCUCUGCUCAAUCAUUUACAUUAUGACAAGCUUGUUUGGAUACCUUCUGUUUGGCGAUUCAACUCUGGACGAUGUGCUGGCCAACUUUGACUCUAACCUUGGCGUUCCUUACAGCUAUGCGCUGAAUGAUGCUGUUCGUGUCUCCUAUGCGCUUCACCUGAUGCUUGUUUUCCCCAUCUUGUUCUACCCUCUUCGCGUUAAUGUAGAUGGCCUCUUUUUUCCCUCCGCAAGGCCCUUGGAUUCAGAGAAAUGGCGCUUCGCAUUCAUUAACUUCACGCUCAUCUUUGUUGUCUUUGUACUUGCAAAUUUUAUUCCCAGCAUUUGGGAUGCAUUCCAGUUCAGUGGGGCAACUGCAGCUGUUUCUCUUGGGUUCAUUCUCCCUGCUGCCAUUGCAUUGAAGGAUGCUCCUGGCAUAGCCACAAAGACGGAUAAGAUCUUGUCGAUCUUCAUGAUAUUUUUGGCAGUGUCUUCAAAUGCAGUGGCCAUAUACAGCGAUGCCUGUGCUGUGUUCCAGAAAAAUGCAUCCCCAAAGGAGUGACUUUCCUGGUUAUCAUCGUAAGAAAUCAAGGAUGAUAUGCUCGAAAUUUAGAGUGAUACAAUAGAUGAGCAAGAUAAGAAGACAAUGAUGUUUGGACUUAGGAAGCAAUCCAAAUCCCUUCAUUUUCUGGGCUCUGUUGUAAAAUUUGCAGUGGAAUUAUAUAUAUAUAUAUAGGAAGUGGGAAAAUAAGACUGCUUCAACUCAUGCUAUAAUACAACUCUUAAAAGUAGAAAUCAGUCUUUUCCUAAUGGAAAACAGUAAACAUGUUUCUAUUUUU